UCCAGGUUAACCCUGGCAGUCUCCUUAGAGUGCCCAACUUAAUGCUGGCAACUAAGGACAGGGGUUGCGCUCGUUGCGAGACUUAACCCAACAUUUCACAACACGAGCUGACGACAGCCAUGCAGCGCCUGUCUCCGCAUUCCCCGAAGGGCACUCCUACAUCUCUGUAAGAUUCGCGGGAUUUCAAACCCAGGUAAGGUUCUGCGCGUUGCUUCGAAUUAAACCACAUGAUCCACCGCUUGUGCGGGCCCCCGUCAAUUCCUUUGAGUUUUAGUCUUGCGACCGUACUCCCCAGGCGGAGAACUUAACGCGUUAGCUACGUCACGGCAGGGGUUAAUACCUUCCAUAACUAGUUCUCAUAGUUUACGGCGUGGACUAC
rnacentral:misc_RNA from 1 species